rnacentral:lncRNA from 1 species
UCCCUUCAACUGAGGGUCAGUCUUCACUGUACCUCAUCAGGGCACAGACUAACUGCUUCUUUUUCAAACCUGCACUUCUCCACCAAAACGGCAGUUGGCUCCGCCCACUUCUCCAUGGCAACCAACUCAUGAUUGCAGAGCAACUGAAACAUUGACCCCUUUAAAACACAACCAAACAUGACAUCUGUAAAAUAAAAAAUUCACACUUUGUUAACACCAAGUUUUUAACUUUCUUUGUGUUUCUAAAUACAACUGUAUCCUUGGUUUGCUUCUGAUGUGAUAAGUAAAAAUAAAUUUAUUAUUUAAAAGCAUGUAACAAAAAAUGGGGGGGGGGGGGUAAGAGAGCCCUGAGUGGAUUAAUCUCAAUGAAUUUCAAUGGGAAAAUUUUGCUUUGAGAUAAGACUAAUUUGAGUUAAGAGUUCAGUUACAGAAUAAAUUAAACUCUUAAGAGUCAGAUGAUGUUGUAUUUCUGCUAAUACUACUGGUCAGUUUAACUCUGUCUUCUGUUUAUUUCAGCAAUGAUGCAUCUUCCAAAAAUUGAAGAUAGCAAAAGGCCAGUUUUGGAAAGGAAAAAAUUAUAUUCUGUCAUGCCUCCAAAGGGAAACAACCACAAGACAGUGGAUGCUGUACAGAAAAAGCACUGUAACCGAGUUGUGGAGGAGACCACUCUUCCCUCAAUCAAGUCGCCCUCUAUGGUAGGUGAACCUUGAUUCACAGCGGCAGCAUUUGAAAGCAUAUCCCCCUUUACAUCUGUGGAGUAAGGACAAAAACCUAAACAUCAAAUUUCAAAUUUUUGAAAGGCAAAAACACAGUAUUCUCAUUAAUUGUGUUUUUUCUUUCCACACAAAAAACCCAUAAAAUUAUUGGAACACAACCACAGUCUAAUCAAAUGUAUAGUCCUCACCAAGGAAAUAGAUAGGCAGAUAAUGAGUUAGCUGGUAGGAAAAACUCUUCACUUGUUGCCUGCUUUGCCUGCCUGCCUCCCUCUCAAUUUCUCUCCUGCUCUCUCCUGUUUGUUACACUGCUACUUCUCAGUGGCAUGUCUUUUUUAUUCCAGUUUUAGGCAUAUGGCAAGCCCCCUGAGUCCUCCAUGUUGCUCUUCUCCUGGGAAUACGGUGAGAUAAGAUGUUUCCAAACAGCUUGAUAGUUAGAGAGCUAGGCCCUUUCCCAUAUAGAAAUGGAGUAGAUAAGAGCAAAAUAAACACUACUUUUCUCAGGACCACAUCAUACAUACCUAAAUUAGUCCUAGGAGGCUUGGACACCAUCGUCCUUUUCUAAAAAUGUUUUGUUUUUUUCAGCACUUUUCAAAUGCCUUGAAACAAGAGCAAUUGAAUUUUGGGAUCCAGAAGAAUAUAUCAGAGACCAGGUAAAGUACUGCAUUCUCUUUGCCCUUUAAGUGAGUUUAAGAUAGAACUGGUGGUUAAGUGGAGCAAAAGAAGCCUUAAACUAUUCCUUUGUUUAUAAGUACAGAACGCCAUAUUUUGGCAAUGGACAUCUCUGUUAUGAAUGCCAUUUCCCAAUUGGUUCUAUCAUAAAGACUUGGAAAAACUUGAUUAAAUUUCAAAAACGUUGCUUUUGCAUACCAUAUUGCAACACAUUUUGCUAUAAUUUUUCAGUGAAUAUCUCAUAGAGUCUCAACCAAUUCCACAUAGUUUGUGGCAGCCACAAAAACAAAGUUUCUGGAGUAGAACAUUGACAAAGAGUAUG